rnacentral:sRNA from 1 species
UAUUCAAACCACCAUUCCCUCCUUGCAGUGGGACGUGGACAGAAUGUUACCAACAGAACAUCCGGGUGGAACGGUCAAGUGUUCUGAAGAAGCAGCACAUCAUAAACUGUGAAGUGAAGUCAUAAACUGGUGGUUUUCAACCUUCCUAACGUGGUGACUCUUUAAAACAGCUCCUCAUGCUGUGGUUUACCCUAUGUCUCUUCUCUGCCCCUGCAUCUGGGACACUUGGUCCACGCAUAGCCUGAUACUGCCAGAGAAUCCAGAGGUGCUGGUGUCAUUCAAGCUAAGAACAGCGGAUCCAAGAAACAGCGGGACAUCCUGCUUAAGAUCUCCAUGGGCAAAAGAAGGAUGCGCUCUCUGUACCUGCGAGCAGCUUGUACAGUAUGCUCAGAAGAAACACGAUAAUAGCCAACAGAUGGCCUCUUCCUGGCACUUUCUUAUCAAGAGCCUUUGACUCUGCAGCUUUCCAGAGCAGAGAGUGAAGCUGAUGUUUAUGCCUAGGAGCCCGAUUGAUACACUGCACAAGGGUGAGCUAAUCGGUGAUUGUUACCUCUCUCAAUGGGCCCAUCUGCUUCCCUGAAAUUUAUCUCACCUGGAGCAGCAAGUCAAAA